AGUGAACGCUGGCGGUAGGCCUAACACAUGCAAGUCGAACGGCAGCACAGUAAGAGCUUGCUCUUACGGGUGGCGAGUGGCGGACGGGUGAGGAAUACAUCGGAAUCUACUUUUUCGUGGGGGAUAACGUAGGGAAACUUACGCUAAUACCGCAUACGACCUACGGGUGAAAGCAGGGGAUCUUCGGACCUUGCGCGAUUGAAUGAGCCGAUGUCGGAUUAGCUAGUUGGCGGGGUAAAGGCCCACCAAGGCGACGAUCCGUAGCUGGUCUGAGAGGAUGGUCAGCCACACUGGAACUGAGACACGGACCAGACACCUACGGGAGGCAGCAGUGGGGAAUAUUGGACAAUGGGCGCAAGCCUGAUCCAGCCAUACCGCGUGGGUGAAGAAGGCCUUCGGGUUGUAAAGCCCUUUUGUUGGGAAGGAAAAGCAGCAGGUUAAUACCCCGCUGUUCUGACGGUACCCAAAGAAUAAGCACCGGCUAACUUCGUG
rnacentral:rRNA from 1 species